rnacentral:rRNA from 1 species
UACGUAGGGUGCGAGCGUUAAUCGGAAUUACUGGGCGUAAAGCGUGCGCAGGCGGUGAUGUAAGUCAGAUGUGAAAUCCCCGGGCUCAACCUGGGAACUGCAUUUGUGACUGCAUCGCUGGAGUACGGCAGAGGGGGAUGGAAUUCUGCGUGUAGCAGUGAAAUGCGUAGAUAUGCGGAGGAACACCGAUGGCGAAGGCAAUCCCCUGGGCCUGUACUGACGCUCAUGCACGAAAGCGUGGGGAGCAAACAGG